rnacentral:rRNA from 1 species
UAGGGAAUCUUCGGCAAUGGACGAAAGUCUGACCGAGCAACGCCGCGUGAGUGAAGAAGGUUUUCGGAUCGUAAAACUCUGUUGUUAGAGAAGAACAAGGACGUUAGUAACUGAACGUCCCCUGACGGUAUCUAACCAGAAAGCCACGGCUAACUACGUGCCAGCAGCCGCGGUAAUACGUAGGUGGCAAGCGUUGUCCGGAUUUAUUGGGCGUAAAGCGAGCGCAGGCGGUUUCUUAAGUCUGAUGUGAAAGCCCCCGGCUCAACCGAGGAGGGUCAUUGGAAACUGGGAGACUUGAGUGCAGAAGAGGAGAGUGGAAUUCCAUGUGUAGCGGUGAAAUGCGUAGAUAUAUGGAGGAACACCAGUGGCGAAGGCGGCUCUCUGGUCUGUAACUGACGCUGAGGCUCGAAAGCGUGGGGAGCAAACAGG